rnacentral:tRNA from 1 species
GGCGAUCGCUGGCGGGGUGCUCGCGGCGGUGGUGUCGUCGGUGCUCGCCGCGCCGCUGUGGAAUCUCAACGGUCACUACGUCGCGAUCGCCAC